rnacentral:lncRNA from 1 species
GAGAAAGCCCUCUCUCUCUCAGCCCCUCUGAACUCUGGGACUCACUCGGAACCAAAGCGGUUCUGCCCCACGGGCUGAGGGACCCCCGUUAUGAACUGCCGGGCGAGCAGACACAUUUUCUGUGGGUAAUGAGGAGUCCUAGAUAGUGAGAGAGCCCCCCACCUUCUUACCACCAGCACCAGCAGGCUCAGCUCAACAAGCUGCUGGCUUAUCAGCCAUGAAACUAUAGGGAUAGCUUAGAGGAUCCAGCAAAGAGCAAGGCUGAGUCUGGGUUAUUUUCAUAACCCUGCUGGACUUGGGCUUGAGAACUGAGACCUUGCUCAGCCUCAGACACAAGAGAUUGGAUCAUCAUGGGCAAAGAGAUUGUUCAGUCAGGUGGCAAAGCCAGAGGCUCCCCCUGGAGGUACUGGGCAUCAGCUCACUGUUCAACGAAGCGCUGCUGCUCUUUCAGCUCCCAACUGUCACUGUCGUCCGUUCCACACCCUCCCUGCCUAAGAAUCCCUCCAAGAUCUGAUGGCAUUUCCAGGAACUGAGUAUCAAGUGCUUAAGCUUGGCAAGGGCCAAGUGCCUCUGCUUGUCCCACCUCUUCUCAAGUGCACACUUCUCCAGCUGUCGCGGCCACAUCUGCUUGAUGCCUCCGCUUCCCACAGAGGUUCCUCUUGGACUAGGACAUGGCAGCCAGAGUCAGAGGUAGUUAAUCCAACCAUGCUCCUGGUGUGGGUGAGCACUGGCCUCACCUACCCCUGUGUACUGCCUCUGUGGAUCUUGGUUGGUGUGAGAGGUCAGACAUUUACUGCCUUACCUAUCAGCUCUCAUGAUUUUAACAGCUGGUCUUUUAUACUAUACUACCCAGUA